UGAACCAGCAACUUGGAGGAAUGUAAAGCAAUUGCUGAUUGCAUUUAAUUAUUUUAAUUUAAUAUAAUGUAAUUACUACUUAGUAGUUUAAAUUUCUAGAUAGAAUUAUGAUGAUGACAUUAUCUAUCUAUAUGUCUUGACCAAAUUACGUGCCAGCAGUCGCGGUAAUACGUAGAAGACUAGUGUUAUUCAUCUUUAUUAGGUUUAAAGAGUACCAAGACGGUUAAUAAAGCCCAAAAUACAUGAGCACGGGGGACACAUUGACUAGAGUUAUAUGAAAGGAAGCUCUAAGGUACUGUUGAGUGGAGAGUUGAAAUUCUUUCAUACCAGAUGAGUGGCACAGAUUUAUGCGAAGGCAUCUUCUUAUGUAAUAACUGACGUUGUAGGACGAAGGCUUUUGAAGUGAACGGGAUUAGUUACCCCAGUAAUCUAAGCAGAAAAUGAUGAAUGUCAUAGGUUAAAUAGCAGCAGUGUUUGAUAGUAGCAAUGCAAACUGCAACACAUUUGGUCUAUAAAUGAAAGUGUAAGCAUUCCACCUCAAGAGUAAUUUGGCAACAUUGAAACUGAAAUCAUUAGACCGUUUCUGAAACCAGUAGUGAAGUAUGUUGUUUAAUUAGAUGAUACACAAAAAACCUUACCACAUUGAUUUAUAUUUGAAAAAAUAUAAUUUCAAUUAUUAUAUGAAUAAUAUCUUUAAAGAUAUAUACAAGCGCUGCACGGCUGUCUUCAGUUAAUGUCGUGAGACUGUGGUUAGUUCCAUUAAAUUAACGUAAACCCUCACUUUAUUUAUAUAUAAAGUAUUGAUCAAAAUACAAUAUGUUAUUAGAUGUAUUAAUAGGGACUAUGACAAGUCAUC
rnacentral:rRNA from 1 species